AUCAGUGGAGGCUGGUGGGAGGAGCUAUAGGAGGAUGGGCUCAUUGUAAUGGCUGGAAUGGAAUCAAUGGAACGGUAUCAAACACACCACAGAUAUGGAAACCACAUGUUUGACUCCUUCAGAUUUUCCAUUCCAGCCAUUACAAUGAGCCCAUCCUCUUCCAGCUCCUCCCACCAGCCUCUACUGACCUGGAUGCACAUGUAUCAUGCUUAGGCUAAUGGCUAGGCUAAUGUGGUCCUUUGUAGCUCAGUUGGUAGAGCACGGCGUGUGUAAUGUCAGGGUAUUGGGUUUGCUUCCAGGGACUACCCAUACGCAAAAUAGCAGGUUUGCUGCAUGAGCUAGGCGGUGGAGACCAACUACAGCCAGAGAGGAAGAGGUAAAGAAAUCGGCCCAACUCGGUGGAAAAAUCUGGCGCCAGGCUCCAGGAACCCACAGGAUCAACCACACCGACAUGACAGAGGAAAAGGAAAACCAAUGAUGUAAUGCUCAACGUACCCUGUCCCGAAGCUCAACGUACCCUGUCCCGAGGCUCAACCUACCCCAUACCCAGG
ensembl:lncRNA